UGGGGAAUAUUGCGCAAUGGGGGAAACCCUGACGCAGCAACGCCGCGUGAAGGAUGAAGGUUUUCGGAUUGUAAACUUCUUUGAUUGGGGAAGAAUAAUGACGGUACCCAAAAAACAAGCCACGGCUAACUACGUGCCAGCAGCCGCGGUAAUACGUAGGUGGCGAGCGUUGUCCGGAAUUACUGGGUGUAAAGGGCGUGUAGGCGGGAAAGUAAGUCAGAUGUGAAAUUCCUAGGCUUAACCUGGGCGCUGCAUCUGAAACUAUUUUUCUUGAGUGCUGGAGAGGAAAGCGGAAUUCCUAGUGUAGCGGUGAAAUGCGUAGAUAUUAGGAGGAACACCAGUGGCGAAGGCGGCUUUCUGGACAGUAACUGACGCUGAGGCGCGAAAGCGUGGGGAGCAAACA
rnacentral:rRNA from 1 species